GAUGAAGAACGCAGCGAAAUGCGAUAAGUAAUGAGAAUUGCAGAAUUCAGUGAAUCAUCGAAUCUUUGAACGCACAUUGCGCCCCUUGGUAUUCCGAGGGGCAUGCCUGUUCGAGCGUCAUUAUAACCCCUCAAGCUCAGCUUGGUGUUGGGGCCUGCUGCACUGGCAGCCCUUAAAAUCAGUGGCGGCGCCAUCUGGCUCUAAGCGUAGUAAUUCUUCUCGCUAUGGAGUCCUGGUGGAUGCUUGCCAUCAACCCCCAAUUUUUCUAUGGUUGACCUCGGAUCAGGUAGGGAUACCCGCUGAACUUAAGCAUAUCAAUAAGCGGAGGA
rnacentral:misc_RNA from 1 species